rnacentral:rRNA from 1 species
GAUCUGGCUCAGGAUGAACGCUGGCGGCGUGCUUAACACAUGCAAGUCGAGCGAAGCGCUUUUGCGGAUUUCUUCGGAUUGAAGCAACUGUGACUGAGCGGCGGACGGGUGAAGGUAACGCGUGGGUAACCUACCUCAUACAGGGGGAUAACAGUUGGAAACGGCUGCUAAUACCGCAUAAGCGCACAGUACCGCAUGGUACCGUGUAGAAAAACUCCGGUGGUAUGAGAUGGACCCGCGU